rnacentral:lncRNA from 1 species
ACAAGCCUAAACUAAUUCAAAAACCGCCAUUGCACAAACAGAUGAAAGAAGCAAAUUUUCAUAACAUGUUACAGAAAAUCAGCAUGGAAAUUUUAUAAGGAUUAGACCAACGGGAAGACAUAGAAAAUGGAAAACAUGUACCCUCUACUCUACGUCAGGUUGACCAAAGUAAUCAUUCACUAUUAACCAUUGUUAAGGGGCACGCGAAGGAAAAUUAGCAAACAUCAAUUUGCACCAUCUAUAUCAGACAAACUUGCUUACUGUUUUCAGUUCCAAUUCAUCGAUGCAACUUCAAGCUGAAAAACAGCAGAAAUAAAUUGAUGCCACAAAUGGCUGGUUGAGAGAUAACUCAACAAGCAUCCCAAAGCUCCAUUCAUUGUCCUGAAGCUAUAGUACAAAGAGUGCUUUCUGAUCAGGAAGUAGAAAUAAAUAUUACCACAAAUCUGGUUGAGAUGUUAGAGUUAAGAUGUACUUAUGUGAACGCCAAAGCUCUCUCUUCGCCAGUCUUCAUCUCUGCAAUAGCCCCAUCAUGAAGCAGUGUUCCACCAAUUAUCUAAGAGUUCCAAUUAAAACACAAUGGAUCAAUUUGCACAAGAAAAGAACUACACAAAUGCUAUAUAUAAUUUAGCAACUUAAUUCAAUUUGUACUAACUGGAUUCGCAAAGUUAUUUUUCUUUUGAACUGUUUAAUCACGCCUAACAUCCAUCUGUUAUAUGAUUACACAUGAUCACGAGAUUACAAACUACUUCUUUUGGUGAAAUUGAGCAGAUUUGCGGAAACAUAUUAGCUAUGAAGUUAGACAACUGGUGAAAGAGUACACAAAGAAUUCACUGAACAUGAAAUAUUGUUUCUAGUAGAAAUUCAAUGCAAAAGCAUUUCAUGAUGUAGAAUCAAAAAUAAAGUUCAACAUACAUCUGUUCCGAUGGGAUAGUAUCCUGUAGUAUUUUGGAUCUCAAC